UCGUCACACUAUCAUUAACUGAAUCCAUAGGUUAAUGAGGCGAACCGGGGGAACUGAAACAUCUAAGUACCCCGAGGAAAAGAAAUCAACCGAGAUUCCCCCAGUAGCGGCGAGCGAACGGGGAGGAGCCCAGAGCCUGAAUCAGCAUGUGUGUUAGUGGAAGCGUCUGGAAAGGCGCGCGAUACAGGGUGACAGCCCCGUACACAAAAGCGCAUGUG
rnacentral:rRNA from 1 species